CAAAUCCCGCACGCCGCACGCGGCACACCGCACGCCGAAUUCGUCGCCGGAAUCGUCGAUCCAGCAACCGAGCCCGCCGACGGCUGGAACGUAGGGAGUAGGCGAGGAGCAGGAGGGAUCGACGGAGAUGGUGAGGGCCUUCUUCUUCCUCCGCGGGUGCGUGGAGCAGGCGAACGUGGCGGCAGUGGAGAAGCGGGGCCGGUUCCUCCGCCUCGCCGAGCCGGGCAUUCACUUCUUCAACCCUGCGCCGGCGUGCUCGUCGCCGGGACCCUCUCCACCCGCGUCCAGUCGCUCGUCGUCCGCGUCGAGACCAAGACCAAGGAUAAUGUCUUUGUUCAACUGAUCUCUACAAUUCAAUACCGGGUUGUUAGGAGAAUGCAGAUGAUGCAUUCUACAAGUUGCAAAAUCCCCCAACAGCAAAUUUAGUCCUACGUCUUUGCUGUGGUCCGAGCCAUAGUUCCAAGAAUGGAGCUGGACAGUCUUUUUGAGCAGAAAAAUGCUGUUGCAAAGGCUGUACUUGAGGAUCUUGAAAAGG